GGCUGGUUUGAGUGCAGUGGUGUUUAUAACUAAUUGAUCAGUUAUGGAUUUCUUUCUUCUCCACUCUCACUGCUUCACUUGACUAGCCUUAA
rnacentral:Y_RNA from 1 species